AUUCGCUCAUAAGCAAGCAGCUGUAACGGUUCGUGUUUUCUGCAUUAAAGCAAGAAUAAAAACGAAUAAAUCGCUAAUAAAUAUUGAACGAUAAGCAACACAUAAAAAGUGAAGAAAUCUAUAAUUUCGUGUUUAAAAAAUAUUGACAGAAAACUUUUAUUAAUUAAAUUCGAUUUGAUAGAAAGGUGUACAAAAGUGAUAACUCAAAUAUGAAUUUAUCAUUUGCUGGUUGUGGAUUUCUGGGAAUUUACCAUGUCGGAGUUGCAGUUUCCUUCAAGAAAUACGCGCCACACUUGCUGCUGGAGAAGAUUUCAGGCGCUUCGGCGGGCUCCCUAGCAGCCUGUUGUCUGCUCUGCGAUUUGCCUUUAGGAAGCAUGACAUCGGAUUUUUUCCGGGUGGUCAACGAAGCACGCCGCUACUCGCUGGGACCAUUCAGUCCCUCGUUUAACAUACAAACCUCAUUGCUUGAGGGCCUACAGAAGCAUCUACCUGAGGAUGCCCACAAGCGUGUUAAUGGACGUCUUCACAUAUCGUUGACACGCGUUUAUGAUGGCAAAAACGUCAUCAUAUCCGAGUUUGAGUCGCGUCAAGAAGUCUUGGAUGCUCUGAUGUGCGCCUGUUUUAUACCUGGAUUUUCGGGAAUUUUGCCACCUCGUUUUCGUGGUGUGCGUUACAUGGACGGUGCCUUCUCAGACAAUUUGCCAAUUUUGGAUGAGAACACGAUUACAGUGAGUCCCUUUUGCGGCGAGAGUGAUAUUUGUCCACGCGACCAGAGCUCACAGUUAUUCCACAUUAACUGGGCCAACACAAGUGUAGAAAUCUCAAGGCAAAACGCGAGCCGGUUCGUUCGCAUUUUCUUCCCGCCACGACCAGAGUUUCUCUCGAAAUUCUGCCAGCAGGGUUUCGAUGAUGCAUUGCAAUUCCUGCAUCGCAACAAUCUUAUCAAUUGCCGUCGUUGCAUCGCCGUUCAGUCCACGUAUGUUGUCUCGGAGACCGUCAACACCGACGAUUUUGAAGCCGAGUGCGACGAAUGCAAGAAACACAGAAACGAUGCCUUAGGAUCACCCUUACCGGAGACUGUGUUGAAUGUGAUACAAGAAUGCAUUGAGCAGGCUAACAAGGGUUUAGCCAAUUGGAUAUUCAAGCACCGUGGCAUUAAAUUACUCUCAAUGCCAGCCACUGUGCCAAUGGACUUUCUUUUGGCGACAAUUAUGAAAAUCUCCACACUAACUCCAAAAGUGACGAAACAAAUGCGUCAGCUCAUCGAAGAAUUGCUUGUUCAACUUAACAACACCAUGCAACUACGUUUGCUCGAUAAAUUUACACUUUACGAUCAGCCACAUUUUGAUGCAACUGGUCUGUUUAACUCAGAUCAUCUGUAUGGUACUAAAGUCUCACUUCUUAUCGAUCAAUGCGGCGCUAAACCUCUUAAAGGCGAUGUUAAUCAAGUCGCUAAGAUGACGCACAAUGAAGCACUCUAUGCUUAUUAUUACACAGACGAUAAUACGAAUAAAGUCAAAGUGACUGAGAUAUUUGAUUUCGAUGACAUUGCGAAUGAGGAGCAUCAGCCAAAUUCGUUACGCUCGAUUGAAGAUCAUUCGAGUGGGCAUCAGCAUUAUCACAAUGAGUGGAAUUGCAUCGAGUCUGUCCAAUUAAUGCCCACUGCACCUGAAUUACACGAUGUUGCCUUUUAAGACUAUCAUUAAUUUCUGAUGCACUAAAUUCCAAAUUUUAUACACAUAAACGACGAAAUUAAUAGACAAAAUUAUGAUUUCAAAGGUAAAUUGGCAUUAUUUUUAAAAACUUUUGGUUUCGGUUAAUGUUGAAUCAUUAGAUAACUUUUUCAUAGACGAACAAACGCCCAACGAACUGCAGUCUUCUGCAAACGAUCUUGAAUCCACACAAAACAAUUCAUCCAAGCUCAGUUAUGCUGAGGAUAAUCAACGCUUAAGUGAUGUUCGCAUAGAGAUUGAAUGAAA